rnacentral:rRNA from 1 species
GAUGAACGCUAGCUACAGGCUUAACACAUGCAAGUCGAGGGGAAACGGCAUUGAGUGCUUGCACUCUUUGGACGUCGACCGGCGCACGGGUGAGUAACGCGUAUCCAACCUUCCCAUUACUGUGGGAUAACCUGCCGAAAGGCAGACUAAUACCGCAUAGUCUUCGAUGACGGCAUCAGAUUUGAAGUAAAGAUUUAUCGGUAAUGGAUGGGGAUGCGUCUGAUUAGCUUGUUGGCGGGGUAACGGCCCACCAAGGCGACGAUCAGUAGGGGUUCUGAGAGGAAGGUCCCCCACAGUGGAACUGAGACACGGUCCAAACUCCUACGGGAGGCAGCAGUGAGGAAUAUUGGUCAAUGGACGGAAGUCUGAACCAGCCAAGUAGCGUGCAGGAUGACGGCCCUAUGGGUUGUAAACUGCUUUUGUAUGGGGAUAAAGUUAGGGACGUGUCCCUAUUUGCAGGUACCAUACGAAUAAGGACCGGCUAAUUCCGUG